GUCGGUAAAACUCGUGCCAGCCACCGCGGUUAUACGAAAGACCCCAGUUGAUAAACACGGCGUAAAGGGUGGUUAAGGGAAACAACUAAUAAAGCUAAAGACCCUCUAAGCCGUCAUACGCACUCCGAGGCCACGAAACCCAAAUACGAAAGUAGCUUUAAACCUAUAAUACCUGACCCCACGAAAGCUAAGAAACAAACUGGGAUUAGAUACCCCACUAUG
rnacentral:rRNA from 1 species